AUUGAACGCUGGCGGCAGGCCUAACACAUGCAAGUCGAGCGGAUGAAGGGAGCUUGCUCCUGGAUUCAGCGGCGGACGGGUGAGUAAUGCCUAGGAAUCUGCCUGGUAGUGGGGGAUAACGUCCGGAAACGGGCGCUAAUACCGCAUACGUCCUGAGGGAGAAAGUGGGGGAUCUUCGGGCCUCACGCUAUCAGAUGAGCCUAGGUCGGAUUAGCUAGUUGGCGGGGUAAAGGCCUACCAAGGCGACGAUCCGUAACUGGUCUGAGAGGAUGAUCAGUCACACUGGAACUGAGACACGGUCCAGACUCCUACGGGAGGCAGCAGUGGGGAAUAUUGGACAAUGGGCGAAAGCCUGAUCCAGCCAUGCCGCGUGUGUGAAGAAGGUCUUCGGAUUGUAAAGCACUUUAAGUUGGGAGGAAGGGCAGUAAGUUAAUACCUUGCUGUUUUGACGUUACCAACAGAAUAAGCACCGGCUAACUUCGUG
rnacentral:rRNA from 1 species